rnacentral:rRNA from 1 species
GAUGAACGCUGGCGGCGUGCCUAAUACAUGCAAGUCGAGCGAACAGACGAGGAGCUUGCUCCUCUGACGUUAGCGGCGGACGGGUGAGUAACACGUGGAUAACCUACCUAUAAGACUGGGAUAACUUCGGGAAACCGGAUCUAAUACCGGAUAAUAUAUUGAACCGCAUGGUUCAAUAGUGAAAGACGGUUUUGCUGUCACUUAUAGAUGGAUCCGCGCCGCAUUAGCUAGUUGGUAAGGUAACGGCUUACCAAGGCAACGAUGCGUAGCCGACCUGAGAGGGUGAUCGGCCACACUGGAACUGAGACACGGUCCAGACUCCUACGGGAGGCAGCAGUAGGGAAUCUUCCGCAAUGGGCGAAAGCCUGACGGAGCAACGCCGCGUGAGUGAUGAAGGUCUUCGGAUCGUAAAACUCUGUUAUUAGGGAAGAACAAAUGUGUAAGUAAAUAUGCACGUAUUGACGGUACCUAAUCAGAAAGCCACGGCUAACUACGUG